GAUUAGUGGCGACGGGUGAGUACACGUGGGCAAUCUGCCCUUCACUCUGGGACAAGCCCUGGAAACGGGGUCUAAUACCGGAUAACACUGCGGAUCGCAUGGUCUGCGGUUGAAAGCUCCGGCGGUGAAGGAUGAGCCCGCGGCCUAUCAGCUUGUUGGUGGGGUGAUGGCCUACCAAGGCGACGACGGGUAGCCGGCCUGAGAGGGCGACCGGCCACACUGGGACUGAGACACGGCCCAGACUCCUACGGGAGGCAGCAGUGGGGAAUAUUGCACAAUGGGCGAAAGCCUGAUGCAGCGACGCCGCGUGAGGGAUGACGGCCUUCGGGUUGUAAACCUCUUUCAGCAGGGAAGAAGCGAAAGUGACGGUACCUGCAGAAGAAGCGCCGGCUAACUACGUGCCAGCAGCCGCGGUAAUACGUAGGGCGCAAGCGUUGUCCGGAAUUAUUGGGCGUAAAGAGCUCGUAGGCGGCUUGUCGCGUCGGAUGUGAAAGCCCGGGGCUUAACCCCGGGUCUGCAUUCGAUACGGGCAGGCUAGAGUGUGGUAGGGGAGAUCGGAAUUCCUGGUGUAGCGGUGAAAUGCGCAGAUAUCAGGAGGAACACCGGUGGCGAAGGCGGAUCUCUGGGCCAUAAACUGACGCCUGAAGAGCCGAAAGCGUGGGGGAGCGGACAAGGAUUAGAAAACCUGGUAGUCCACGGCCGUAAAACGUUGGGAACUAAGUGUGCGAACAUUCCACGUCGUCCGUGCGCAGCUACGCAUAGUCCCCGCCUGGGAGUACGGCCGCAAGCUAAAACUCAAGAAUGACGG
rnacentral:rRNA from 1 species